GACAGAGGUCCCGAGCCGUUAGGCGGAAUCACUGGGCUUAAAGCGUGUGUAGGCGGAUCGUUAAGUGUCUUGUGAAAUCCCACGGCUCACCCGUGGAACUGCUGGGCAUACUGGCGAUCUUGGGCCAACUAGGGGCAGCCGGAACAAGCGGUGGAGCGGUGAAAUGCGUAGAUAUCGCUUGGAACGCCGAAGGUGAAAACAGGCUGCUGGGGUUGUGCCGACGCUGAGACACGAAAGCCAGGGGAGCAAACGGG
rnacentral:rRNA from 1 species